GGUUAUACUUUUCUUAAAAAUAUAUAAUCAUACAGAAAAUAUACUAAGUAAUACAAUUAAUAAAGAACAAAUGUAUCCAAUGAUUAUUUUAUUAGGUGUAUAAAAUAACGUCCUAACUGAGAUGUAAAUCUAAUUUAAAAUAACUAUGCACAUGUGUAUGAGGACGCCCCACACGACGCAACACUGAAGUGGCACACACAGUUGCUGUCUCU